AGGUCAGUAUGCGUGGAUGUGUGUGCGUUCCUGCUUUCAUGGGUGUGUUUAUGUCUUCAUUCAUUCUUAUAUCUGUCAUGUUUUCUUAGAGGUGGUUCAGAUCCUUGUUUAGGUUCUUGUUUAGCAGUACCAGUCUGCCAGUCUUGUUCCGGAUAUUUAGUCUGUAGCAGUACCAGUCUGCCAGUCUUGUUUAGGUUAUUUAGUCUGUAGCAGUACCAGUCUGCCAGUCUUGUUUAGGUUAUUUAGUCUGUAGCAGUACUAGUCUGCCAGUCUUGUUCCGGAUAUUUAGUCUGUAGCAGUACUAGUCUGCCAGUCUUGUUCCGGAUAUUUAAUCUGUAGCAGUACUAGUCUGCCAGUCUUAUUCCGGAUAUUUAGUCUGUAGCAGUACUAGUCUGCCAGUCUUGUUUAGGUUAUUUAGUCUGUAGCAGUACUAGUCUGCCAGUCUUGUUCCGGAUAUUUAGUCUGUAGCAGUACUAGUCUGCCAGUCUUGUUCCGGAUAUUUAGUCUGUAGCAGUACUAGUCUGCCAGUCUUGUUUAGGUUAUUUAGUCUGUAGCAGUACUAGUCUGCCAGUCUUGUUCCGGAUAUUUAGUCUGUAGCAAUACCAGUCUGCCAGUCUUUGCCAGAUGAGCUGGACUGUGGCCUGGAAUGUUGAUUUGGGGGGUGGAAUUUGUGAAAUUGGUGUUGGAUGGGAACCUGCCUGCAUCGUGUGUUGGAUGGGAACCUGCCUGCAUCGUGUGUUGUGCAUCUAAAUCAGAUUAUAUUUCCUCUUCCCUUUUCUCUUUUCUCCUCUCCUUCCCAUCCUCUUUCCUCUCCUCCCUCUUUCUCUCCUUUUUCUUCUAUUUUCUUCUCCUCUUCUGUCCUCUGCCCUUCCUCUCAUCUUGUCUUUCUUCCCCUGUUCUCUCUCCUCUCCUCUCUCUUCAUCUCUCCUAUUUUCUCCUUUCCUCUCUCUCCUGUCCUCUCCUCUCCUUUCUCUCCUAAUCUCCUUUCUCCUCUCUGUCUCCUUUCUCUCCUCUCCUCCCUGUCAAAGGAGCAACACUAUGGCAACAGUGAGUCAUCCUCUAUAACACAGCCAACCAAUUAAACGCAGAGUUAGUCUUAUAAAAAAAAUAUUAAAAAAAUACUAUUUUGCCAGGCAACAACCAGUGGUGUUCCAGAACUUAAUUUACUUCAGGAAUUACCUGCCGCCCCACGCAAGGCAGCCACACGGUAAUGCCAUGGCACACUGAAAGAGGGCAUGUAAGAUUAUGUGAAUAUGUGUCAUUGCCAUGACUGCACUUAAAUGCACUCCACAGACGUUUUAACUGGUCUAGACUCUAGACCAUUCAUUCCAACUGGCAUAAUCAUGUGAAUGCAUGAUUCUUUUAGUUUUAUUCACCAGAGCAGGAAGCGACG
rnacentral:lncRNA from 1 species